AUGUGGAAGCAACGACUGAAGAGUUGUGGAGCUGACUGGUACUAAUACACCGAAGA
rnacentral:rRNA from 1 species